rnacentral:ncRNA from 1 species
GUUGCGGGUGAAGGAAAUUUGAGGGGAGCUGAUCAUAGUACGAGAGGACCUGAUUGGACGAACCUCUGGUGUACCAGUUGUUCCGUCAGGAGCAGCGCUGGGUAACCAAGUUCGGAAGGGAUAAAUGCUGAAAGCAUAUAAGCAUGAAACCCACCCCAAAACAAGAUUUCCCAAAUAUCAAUCGCAAGAUUGAUAUAUAAGAAGGCCACUUGUAGAUUACAAGUUUGAUAGGCAGGGGGUGUAAGUCCUGAGAGGGAUUAAGCUGACCUGUACUAAUCGGCCGUUUGACUUGACCGU